GACUAAAGUUAUUUAAUAGCAAAGAGCCUCUGAUCCAUUAACUCAAAAUUAUUAAGUUUUAUUUUGUCCGCCUCCCCGUGCGCAUGCGCAUGUGGUUCAACGGUCUCUCCCUUCCUCCAUGUCUCCUUCCCGCACUAUCAGAAGCUGCACGUCGGACUUCGGGUUUGAAAAUAGAACUAAUUCCUGAGUGAUCAUCACUGUUACCAGGAGUUAUCUGUGGCAACCUCCUUGUAAUAGUUGAUGUCUGGACAUGCAAAGCAUGCUGUUUGGAGUCAUCUAGCAGGUAUUUGUUAUUCAAGUGUUAUAGAGAGACUCAUGGGCAUUUAGUGGGCAGUCAUCUUAA